rnacentral:lncRNA from 1 species
AUGCAAGGGAAUAACAAGAUUCUCCCUCUUUUUGCACUGACUGCAAAGGGUGAGACCAACAGGUUGCAAUGUACAGGGACCUCAUCCUUCUCCCUUUACAGAUCAGAGGCACCCUUCCAGCAAACAUCUGUGGACAAAAGUUCUGUGCAGAGGGGGAGCUUAAUGCCAACACUUCAAACGGAAGAAAGUACCUGUAAAUGUGUAUCUCAAAUGGGCAGUGCCACUCGUUCCCAUCCACUUCUCUCACCCGCUGCUCUCCCCUCUGGACCUCUGUGGACACAUGAUGUGGGCCGUGCUGUCCAGAGGCCAGAGCUACGUUCUCCUUCAUCCUUCAUGCCCCAAAUAAAAGCUGGAGCAGAAAUGAGAGAUCAGCCUGUGAGUGCUCGCCAGGGAGCCCAAGACUUUCAACUGGAGUCUGUGGAGAAGUUGCGACCAAACUUGCAGCCACAUUUGCUGUUACCUGAGGACUUGGUGGAAAAAUGGAGUCACCAAACUGCGGCUGAAGGGGGAGAAGGAGAACACGGUUCCAGAGAAGAAAUGGUGUUGCAGAGAAAGCUGGAAGUUGAGCUGCGACACAUCCAGCAGCAGAUGCAGUACUACUUCAGCAGGAAGCAGGAACUCAGGUCCUGUCAGCAGCAGGCACAGAUUCUGCAGAAGUGGCUGGAAAUGAGCACACAACCAGAGGACCGAGAUGAUGGGGUACAAGGAGCUCGGGAAGAGUUGGAUCAGUUACAGGUGAGGAUCAACACUCUCACCAAAGCACAACUACAGGAGAGACACCACGUGCAGAACCUGGUUGCCCGCCUGCGUGACAUCCAGAUUGCUCUGGACAUAUAA